rnacentral:lncRNA from 1 species
GGGGGGAGUGAUUAGAGAAUUGAAACUUUCAUUCCGACACCCUGACCUUCAGGAAGGAGAGAGGGGUUGGAGGUUGAGUCAAUCACCAAUGGCCAAAGAGUCAAGCAAUCACACCUGUGUGAUGAAGCCUCCAUAAAAACCCAAAAGGACAGUGUUUAGAGAACUUCCUGGUUUGUGGAUAUACGGAGGUGCUGGGAGACUGGUGCUCCGGGAUAGGGCUUGGAAGCUCCACGUGCCUUUCCACAUACCUUGCCCUACAAAUCUCUUCCAUGUGGAUGUUCAUCUGUAUCCUGUAUCAUAUCCUUUUAUAACAAACUGCUGAAGUCAAGAAACUGGGCCACAGCCAAGCACACAUGCCUGAUGAGCGACAGAGGUGAUGCCAUCUGACUGCAGAGCGCAAGAGCCAAACCUUUGCACUAGUCACCCUCCUGACUCCAGGAGCAAACUAUGGCAUGCUCCUUUUUAAAGAAAGUAUGAGACUUUUCAGGAGGUAUUUUUCCUGGAUAUAUAAAUCAAUUCGAUUCAUAGCAAAGUGGCUUCAGAGAUGACUGCAAAGUAAAUUUUCAAUCACCCAAGCCUCUCCUUCCUUGACGCAUUCCCCGCUUUGAACGACUUGCUUAAACCAACUGAUCCUGGACUCUGGAACCUAUAUAUCCCACUUCUGAUUUCUGCCUCCUGAGACACUGCUGAACCUCCAUCAAGGUGGUCAACUCUCCCUUACUGCAAUGAAGAGUAAGAACAAAAGAUCCUGGGGCUGCCCCAUGGCCUAGUGGUUAAGUUUGCGUGCUCCACUUCAGCGGCCCAGGCUUUCACUGGUUUGGAUUCUGGGUGCGGACGUGGCACUUCUCAUCAGGCCAUGCUGAGGCAGAGUCUCACAUAGCACAACCAGAAGGACCUACAACUAGAAUAUACAACUAUAUACCAGGGAGCUUCGAGGAGAAGAAGGAAAAAAAAAAAAGUAAAGGUUGGCAACAGAUGCCCAGGUGCCAAUCUUUAGAAAAACAAAACAAACCAAAAGAUCCUCAGCAUUUCAGCAUCCCUUGAGAAGUAAUCAUUAGGGGUAAUAAGGCUUUGCCAUUUUUUUUAGUAAGCUUGAAGGGGAAAUAGGAAAGAAACCAAAUAUGCUAAGAAUGAGAAAGGACAUUGAUGAUCAAGAGGCAGCUACCAAAGUAUUUUCUUUCUAGGCCUUAGAAGAAUUAAUAUUUGUUCUUGGGAGGUUGUGUGUAUUCAUGCUUUUAACAUAUGUGUUAAAAGAAAUAAAAAAAGAGUGAAUAUGGAACACAAAGAUGGGAUCUACCCUAAAGGGAACGUGAGGUUUCCUACUGCUGAGAUCUGGAGUUCAAAAUGCCCCCUUUCCCUCAUUCCUUCAUUCCCUCUUUCCUGAUGCCGUAGCAUCAACAUAGAAAUCCCACAGCAAACAUGAUUAAAGACCAGGAUGCUUCUCCAGCCUCAAUGUCUCAAACCCGGGGAACGGCUCUUGGGGCAUGAGUAAUGGAUUGGGUGGUGAAGGACCUCUUUCCAUGACUUCUCCCAAAAGUAGGGUGUAUGUGCUUGGGUAAGUUUUAAGGAGUUUUGUGGCCUUAGCAUGAAUCAGAGGGCAGUGGAGCCCAGUUAAGAAUGAGGUAGAAGCCCACAGCUGCAAUCUCUUGGCAAGGGGCUCUUUCCUUCUGGGAAAAUUUUUAUCACCAUGCCUGUAACAUAGUCAGCACUUGGUCAACGUUUCC